UUUAGAAAGUAUUAACAAGCAGUUAAAUCGGCAGAAUUAGAAUGCAUUUCAGAAAAAUUUUACUUCUAAGGUCAGGGUUCAUGUUAAAACAGAAAAAAGGAAAAAAAAAAACCCACAAUUCUAUUAGUAGAUAACAAGUGAUUCUAAGUAAGUACCCAUCCAAUGAUUAAACAUUAAACACAGGGAAGAGGGAGAAAGCGGUGAAAAAGUGAAAAAAAGAGAGAAACUUUGGUGAACAGUGAAGGGAGAUUGUCUUGUAGUGAAGGCGAUUCUCAAAAUCUAAAAGCAUAAGAAGAGAGAGAGAAAGGAAAGGCUAAUGUGGGCACUUUGAUUUGUUUGGUCUCUGCAACUCUCUCUGCGAGACCACGCUUGCCCCCAAGUAAUGUCUUUACCUUUCUGUGAUGCAAUCGAUGGCUGCAUUUGACCCUCUCUUUCCACGUCUUUGCUUUGCAUUAGGAGAGGAGGAUUUCAAGCUGGAUCAAUUCUAGAUCGUAAAUAUACUUAUCAGCAUGCUAUAUGCAUUGAUGUACUAAGUUUACUAAGUUUUAAGUUUUAAGUUUUAAAUUAUUAGUUUAUGGUGCA